rnacentral:sRNA from 1 species
UAAAUUUUUUGUAUGAACGUCUUUAAAUAACUUAUAGCUUCGUGUUUUCGUGCAUCGGCUGGCAUUUGCUUAAAUCUGGGAUGUUCGUGUCCACCUCCUAAGGUAUACCCUUAUUGGUUCCAUAUAUUUCUAGUUAUUCAUAUAUGGAUAUGAAACUCUGGAUCUGUAGUACAUCUGCCUCAGUGAAAACACAUACCAGAGGCAGAUAUCAUUUUGCAUGCUACCUCCACUGCCUUGGUCAUUAGCAAGAGCCCUAAGCAAUAGGCCACCACCCUGUUUACCGUUCUGGAAUUUCUUAAAUAACACAGCCACCCGCUUAGUGUCAGUCAGUAGUUUGUGACUUGUUCUUUUGUUCAUGUUGUAAGUAGUAUUGAUUUACAAUUUACACAUUUAGCAGGAGCAGCAAUGUGUGGAACACCGCUUCGCAGUGGUGCUACGAUCGGCCAAUUCUUCGAAUUCAAUUAAGAAAAUGGUCAGCGUCUGCAAGUGUGGGGUAAUUCCAUGAAAUAGCGCUGCUUGCAGUUUGCGCACCUACUAAAAGACGGUCGCUGCUCAACACUGCAGGUCCAUUCCAUUUGAAAUGGAAACUCUUAGCCAUCGUUAGCUUCUUUCUGCACUCUCAACAGACAUAGGAAUCUUCACCGAUGGUUCUAACGAUGGGACCACAGCCCCCAAUGGUACGCCAGAAACAACCGAUUCUUCUGAUACUUCGGACCCACCGACAUCACCCAUCAAGAAGCGGAAGACACUUUGAAGACCUUGACAGAUGGAAUUUUGAAGGAGGUGGGAGCACGGAACGAAAUGCAGAGCGACGCCACCUUGCGAUGCAUUCGCGUGACGACAUUACCUUCACAAUAAUUUGCCUUGAAGAACAAAAUUAUUCUUUACUGUUGCUGCUGGAGUGGUAACCUCAGCCAGUUGAUGCCUUGAUCAUCACUAGGAGCCAGGAUGCCUUGAUCAUCAACUGGCUGGUGAAGCCACUGCAGCAGCAACAGUCCAGACCAAUCUUGUUAUUGAAGACAAAGUUAGGACCGGAGCCAAAGGAAAUCUGGACUCGGACUAUCUGCUGAUAAUAUUUUGAUAACGUUUUUACAAAUUGAAUAAAAUUAGAUAACUAAAUA